CCUGGUGGCUCAGAAGGUAAAGCAUCUGCCUGCAAUGCAGGAGAGCCAGGUUCAAUCCCUGCGUCAGGA
rnacentral:tRNA from 1 species